rnacentral:rRNA from 1 species
UACGUAGGGUGCGAGCGUUAAUCGGAAUUACUGGGCGUAAAGCGUGCGCAGGCGGUUCGUCGUGUCCGAUGUGAAAGCCCCGGGCUCAACCUGGGAAUGGCAUUGGAAACUGGCGGACUCGAGUGUGGCAGAGGGGGGUGGAAUUCCGCGUGUAGCAGUGAAAUGCGUAGAGAUGCGGAGGAACACCGAUGGCGAAGGCAGCCCCCUGGGCUAACACUGACGCCCAGGCACGAAAGCGUGGGGAGCAAACAGG